GAAAAGAAUGGAAAGGAAGGAAGGAAAAAGGAAGGAAGGAAGGAAGGAAGGAAGGAAGGAAGGAAGGAAGGAAGAGUGUGAAGAAACGACAGGAGGGAAGCGAGACACACACGCACACACGUACACGUACACACACACACACACACCCGAAAGGACGAAAGGACAGAGAGAGAAGAACGUCAGCGUGAACUCGCGUGAAGCGUCGUCGUGACGCUCCAGCGAAUUUCUACGUAGAGGCGGAUUUCGACGCUCUUGACACGAUUUUCACACGAUGAUACAGACGAAACGCGUGCAUACAUACAUGCAUACAUAUAUGCACAUACACACACGUACACACACGUGAAGAGACGGAGCGAAGAGAAGCGUAAGAGUAUAAAAGAAAGGCACUGUUGAAGUCACACGCGCACGCAUAUAAUAUAAUACUUGUUCACACGUACACACAGAGGAACACACAGAGUCCACAGUCGCGGAAGAUUCUUUUAGGAAAGUCGAGCCCCGCGCUGUUUUCCCCGGAAAAAUUGUCGUCUCGAGAUGGUAUGGGGAAGAAGAAGAAUCGAAACCGAUUGGAAAUUUGUCGUUAGGGGCGAUCAUCCUCCCGAAGAGACGGAGGUAGGCUUUCCGAAUAACGAGCGACGAGCUGUCUGUUUUUUCUUUUGCCUUUUUUUUUAACCUGUUAACCGGACGUCCUGUUAACGUCGAGACGAGCAAUGGAGCAGAACCUUCGAUCGUUCUCGCUCGAAAGUGAACGUCUAUUUUACUGUUUCCACGGUGGAGAACGACACGAGCGAUAGCAACGUCGAUAGGAUAUCUAUUUUAACUUUAACUCUCUGCGAGAUGAUGAAGCGGUAUGUGUCGUUUCAGUUCCUCGAGUCGUGGGCUUUCUUUCCAUCCGUAGCCAAACGCGAGUUUUGUAGGAGCGACGAAGCUUCAUUCUGACAGCAAGCCAAUUCGAUCCAGUAUCGAGGAUCGUGAAAAUUCGAGGAAGAAGGAAAGUUACAAAUUGAGAUAUACACACACAUAUAUAUAUAAAUAAAUAAAUAAAUAUGAAUCAGAAUGAAGCGAGUGGAUAGCAUGAAGAAAGUAACCGUGACACGCACACAUGUCCAUUUACAUAUUUUCAAAUGCAAGGAAAAAUUCAGUGAAAAAUUAAAGCGACUUGUUCGUGAAAGUAAGGAGCCGAAUUAAUUAAUUACAUUAUCUCCUAGUUGCCCGUUUUUUGAAGAUUUUUGAAAGUAACCAUCCGGCCAGCUGCCGGUUAACAGGUUAAAAAUCGUGGGAAAGAUUGGUGUCCUGUCCUGGUUGGAUACGAUCGACUCGCAGCAACUCGUUCGUUGUCUCUCCGUCUCGUACGAGAGUCACGUCUGUUAAUUAAUUCCAGAACGACGUGAUUCGAUGUAUUCACAUGGAAACAAACAGACAUCGCGGAGAGAAAAGAAACAAAACGAAACGAAACGAAACGAAACGAAACGAUACAGCGAAGACAAGCGCGGUGGCUCGCGGUACGAAAUUGCAUAAUAUAGAGAUACAAAAGAGACGAAGACGAGUACAUCAAGCUUAAUACCAAAGGUGCCCUAAGAAGCGUGUAUUUAUGUUUUAUCAUUGGCGCGUCGCGAGAAUGGCGAGCAUUUAAUUAUGUAUCUUGUUAAGGAGAGUCUAAAUAUCCUAGACGGGGUGUAGAGAGAGAGAGAGAGAGAGAGAGAGAGAGAAAGCAUGAGAAUGUGCGAAUGGAUGUGGCAAGUGUGGAUGUGAUCGACCGAGCGACUGCGUUGAUUUAACGUAAUAAUCUUAUAUAUAUUAUAUAUAUAUAUAUAUUACAUAACGAAUGCGAACAUAUCAUAGGAUUAAGCAGUUAAGUAGGGAAGAAGAGUUAAAGUUCUUGUAAUAAGGAUCUAAAGGAAGCCGCGGGGGGGGGGAAAGCCG